rnacentral:rRNA from 1 species
UACAGAGGUCUCAAGCGUUGUUCGGAUUCAUUGGGCGUAAAGGGUGCGUAGGUGGCGGGGCAAGUCAGGUGUGAAAUCUCGGAGCUCAACUCCGAAACUGCACUUGAUACUGCCUUGCUGGAGUACUGGAGAGGAGAUUGGAAUUUACGGUGUAGCAGUGAAAUGCGUAGAUAUCGUAAGGAAGACCAGUGGCGAAGGCGGGUCUCUGGACAGUUCCUGACACUGAGACACGAAGGCCAGGGGAGCAAACGGG